CGGGGCGUGGCGCAGCCUGGUAGCGCACAAGCAUGGGGUGCUUGGGGCCGGAGGUUCGAAUCCUCUCGCCCCGACCA
rnacentral:tRNA from 1 species